ACUAAAACUGAAAAGCAGUGAAGAAAUCUAAUUUUCAAAUCCGUAUUAUUCUGUUACUGACUAGAUUUUGUUUCUUUCAAUCAAAGAAUAUUAACAGCUCUGCUUGGCCAUUCUGACUGGUGUGAGGUGAUAUAUCAUUGUGGUUUUGAUGAAGGACUUUGGCAUAGCACUUAUACUUCUAAUGUUCAGACUUCUAAGACCCACCAAACCUGGGGAGUUAAGUUCUGUAUGAUUCGGCUUUGUGAAAAUAUGCCUCUUUCUUUCCGCGGAGCCUGCUGAACUGAACGGAGCAGUGAGCAGCGACGGGGCUUCACCCCAGGGAGGGGGGUGUAUCUGUGGGUGGCUGUUACGGCGAACGGCAGGAUGAAACAGUAGGUCACACUUCCCACCCCGGUAUGUAAACACCAUCAUCAUCUAUCUUAAUUUAGUAUCACUUUCUAUUCUUCUAGGAAUGUUAUUCUAUUUGUUUUUAGUUUUCCAUCCACCGCCAUCAUUGCCGAAGCAUCUUAUUUGUGCUGCCGGUGACGUUUAAUAUUAGGGUGAGUUGGCCUUGGGUACAUUUUGUUUUUUCCCCUGCCAUUUCUUAAAUCCCAGUAAACAUUUUGAGACACAAGCUGUUAGGUGUUCAUUAGGCAGUAGCCAUUUAGAAAGACAGUAAACAUUUAGGAAUUUUGGGAUUAUUUGGCAUCUCCAAUUAACCAGGCCCAAAUAACGACUUCAAUCUUUUCUCAUGGACUCCGAGGUCUGAGCCGUCCAUCAGGUGGAGAGCUCACGGUCCCAGUUCUAUUUCUCACCAUGUUUUCUCGGCUCAUCAGUCAGGCAUGAUCAUUCCCCCAGGUGCUCUCGUUAAGUCCAACAGGAAACCAUCACCACUGUCGUUUACUGACUGCCUGAUAAAUACUUCGCGGGGCACAGUGUCAACUGCUUCUCUGGGAAAUCUAGUUCCACACAUCAAUGUAUCUUUCUUUUCUAAAGUCACACUCCAGUAUGUGCUACUAAGCAACAGCUCUGUCCCUGACAGAUCUAGUGUUUUUUACUUUUUCAUGGGUCAUGUAACCAAGACUUGGGAUAACGUUUUAUCUUUUUUUGAUUGAAAGCCACUUCUAAGGACACAAGAAUUGAAACUCAAGAAACCAAAAAAUCAGCUAGCUUCAUAAAGUCAACAGAGAGUACUGCAUUACCUCCCUCUUGUGUGAUUAAAUGUGGGCAAAGUAACAGGGAGACAGUGCACAUUUCUAUAAGUCCUCUGAGUUCUGGUGUGAACUUAAUAGACUUAUUUUCCAUUUUGUCACCUUGUAUGUAUUUAUUCAAUGUCACCUGUUCUCUCUAGGGAGCACACACAUAGCAAAUUGUUUUAUUCCUUGGCAAGAUGUAUUCCCUCUGUGCUAGUUAACAAUGUACAACCAGACUGCUUUCAAAAUCUGUAUUGGCUCUGCUGUUUCUGAUGAUGGGGAAAUCAGUGUUAUUUAUAUUUGAUGGUUACAAUGAUUAUCACAGAACAAAACAGAUCUAGCUACAGUAUGCCUACUGCCUCUCUUAACUGGAGUCCUUAACUAAAAAAUAAAAAUGUUCUUGGAAGCACUCUUGCACCAAAAAUAGGCAGAUGCAGUGGAUACAAAUCCCAGCUUCCUGGUCCUUGGGGGUACCAAUUCUGAGGCAUAUUAUAGUCCACACA